CUGGAGACCACACGAAGACGUCUCCGUGCUGCUCAUCCUUGAAUCCCCUCGUCCACAAUCUCUCUUCCCUCUCCUUUGUGUGCUCUCUCCAGGAAUCCACACACAAUCCCCAUGAAAUUGAGCUUGUUUUUUGUUGCUUCUCUGCUCCCCACAACAUUUCCACCAUAGAUCCAUGAGAGGGGAUGAGUUCGUUGGUGUUUUUUGUUUUUUCAUUCAUGCCCUGCGCAGUCGCCAUGGAUCCCACGAGGUUGAGCUCAAAUACAUGUGGGACACACACCCUCUUCUCCUUGGAAAGGAGGUUGAUGUUCUCUCUUGCCGUUCAUCUUUUGGAGCUGCCAGCAAUGGGCACGACGACCGGGCUGCUAGAUCAGGCACCGCUGCAUCACCAUGGUGCGCGACGGCGGCGACCGGCGCCUGCUGGGGAAGCGAUGUGGGAACCAGCACGCCUCGUAGCUGGAAUCAGCCAACUGGGAAGCUGCAACCGGCAUCCCCUGAUGCUGGAAGCAGUGUCCCCUAAUGCUUGAACCGGACGCGCCUUCACCACGCGAUGCGUUUUUUGGCUGGAAGCAAUGUUUGUUUUUGCUGGUACUGGCUUUUUCUUUUGCUACAAUAGGCGCAGGUGUUCUUUUGCUGCAAGGUUGUUUUUGCUGGAACUAGCAUUACUUUUUGCUGGAACGGGAUAAUUCAUUUGCUAGGAUUCGCUAUUGAAGUUUUUUGUUGCUCAGAUUUUUGCUGGAACCAUGUUUAGUUUUUGCUGGAACCGACAAAUCUUUUUGCUUCAACGAGUACUGAAGUUUUUGUUGCUCAGAUUUUUGCUGGAACCAUGAUUAAUAUUUGUUGGACCGGAAAAAUCAUUUUGCUUCAACGAGUACUGGAGACUUUUGUCUGGCGUCGACUUUUCUGGAACUGGCUGAUUCGUUUGCUACAAUCCACUACCGAAGUUUUUUUUUGCUGGAACCACGAUUAAUUUUUGCUGGAACGGACAAAUCUUUUUGCUUCAACCAGUACAGGAGAUUUUUGUUUGGUUUCGAUUUUUGCUGGAACCACCAUUAAGUUUGCUGGAACCGGCAAAUGUUUUUGCUUCAACCAAGUAAUAUUUUUUUUGUUGUUUUAGAUUUUUUUUCAUGGCAGUGCAAGUUGGGCAUCGGGGAUGUUACAACCAUGUCGACCGUGCUGUGGAACCCGCCUAUGUUCGAGCUGCAACCAUGCCGAGCGGAGGCAGCCGAGGCGAGUGGCACGAGCGGCCGGCGAGCACGGUGGCACGAAUGACCGGCAAGCAGGAGAAGCCGAGGACAAGUGCGGGCGGCUGGUGAGCGCGUGUGGAGUCCGGCCGGCAAGCACGCCUAACUAGUUUGGUAGAACCUUUUUCCUGCAUGUUUGACUUUUGGGGACGAAGAAAAAACUAUAUUGUACGGUUAAAAAUGACUGUAUCGUACGAUCGACAACCGACCGGUCCAAAUUUGAGCCGGCGCACCGGCACCGC
rnacentral:rRNA from 1 species